rnacentral:rRNA from 1 species
UACGUAGGGCGCGAGCGUUGUCCGGAAUUAUUGGGCGUAAAGAGCUCGUAGGCGGCCUGUUGCGUCCGCUGUGAAAUCCCGGGGCUUAACCCCGGGCGUGCAGUGGAUACGGGCUGACUGGAGGCAGGCAGGGGAGAACGGAAUUCCCGGUGUAGCGGUGAAAUGCGCAGAUAUCGGGAGGAACACCGGUGGCGAAGGCGGUUCUCUGGGCCUGUUCUGACGCUGAGGAGCGAAAGCGUGGGGAGCAAACAGG